UUUAUAUUAUACACAAUGUGCAAUGUGAAAAAAAUUAAAGUGUACAGUUUAGAAAUAUUUAUUUCGUAUAGUUACUUUUCCAUCGCGUUACAUUUAUUUUACACGAAUUAUAGGUUUAUCGCGUUCCAAAGCUCAUUGUGUUAUUUUACUAAUGUGCUUUUUAAGAGGAUUAUUGAAAGAAGAUUGUUUCGUAAUAAGAUUAAUCGAAAGUCUCGCAGCCACCAGCGGCAGCCAAGCUCGCAUAAAGGUAGCGUGCUUCGUCCUACUCGUCAUUUACUUCCUUAUAAAUUGUUUCAUAUCGUGAUUUACAUUAAUGUUACGCAUGUUCGCGAAUUAAGGAAAUUACCCGUGCACGUGACUGUCAUGUACGAUCCAGCGUAAUGACGUAUAAUUAAGAAACGUAUCCGUGUAACGUGGCUGUACCAACAAUAACGUUGCAAUUAAAAGAGUGGACAAUUUCGUUCAGCUCGUAACGCAAGAUUGAGAGGAAAGACGAGUCAGACCAGUUGAACGUAUUCGAGUCGUUGGACGUAAUUGAACGUAUCGCGUGUAGCAAUGUAGGAGAAGAACGGCAAGAGUGACAGAUUUUCAAGAAAACGAUAUAAUCGUACAAGUUGAAAAGAAUUUAUGUAUCCGAUGUGUUCGGAAGAAUAAGUGAAACGCUGUAAAAAUUGAUAGAAAAUUAAACUAGAAAUUUUGCCAAGAUUUUCUGAAACGUUGAAUCUAGAAAGCCGUUAAAAGGUUUGGAAAAAUGAAACCAAAUAUUCCAUGGAGUCCCCUGUGAAAGGCAAUUUUAGAAAGCAGCGAUUCUUAGGAAGGAUAGAAAAUUAAACCGAAAGACGUUCGAAGCUCUAAAAGAUUGCAAAAGAAUCGUAAACGCGUUUCUCUCCUCGCAAAAGUCUUUCGCAAGAAGAGGAAGAUUUCACGAAUAGCGACGAUCGAGUCGAAAAGGCUACAACAACGACCCAAGUAUCAAGGCCAAGGGUUCAUAUACUCGGAUCGACGAACAAUUUUUCAUCAAAGUCAGGGAAUUAAAUGACGCGCUAUAACAUAUCCCUUGUUAUCUCAACGAUGAUAUCCUUUCAGGCAACCACGAUAUCUCUAUUUUAUCUCUACGUAGUUUAAAUAUCCUCUAGUCAACUGCGGUACGAAGUGCCAGAUUAAGAAUACUUAAGUCUGUAACGCGGUAUGCAACAAGGACCUUGAAUUCUCUACUUUAAUUGUCCAUUGCAAUUAUCUUGGACUUAGUUGGAUCCAAUAACUUGGAACUCUAAGAUAUUACAAAUCUGUUGAAAAUUAUGGAUCUUAAUUGCCGAAAUAAAAGUAAAGGAACACCAAGGUUACGCUUAGAAUUCAUAUUAAAAUAGUUUUAGAUUUAUUUAAUAAACGAUGUCCAGGAUCUUCGUCGAUAUAUAUUUGCACGCGUCUCAGCGUUCUCUUUGUCACGCCAUCUUCCACCCCACGCUGCCAACGGAACAGUUAGAUUCGUCUGCUUUUCAUACACGUACUUUCACACACUCAUAUUCACAUACGCGUGUCACUACUACGCGGCCAAUCUAGUCUAGCACACAAAAUUAUAAAUAUCUCGAUAAAAUCAAUUCGAGUGUCGAGUAAUAUUAAUUGUCGAUUUUUAUUUCGUUCAAUUUGGAUAGAACAAGCAGAUUCAACGACGAAGAACGUGUCAAAUUUACGAGGUUUUCCUCUCGCAGAGUAAUUAUACCGAGGAAUGUGACGGAAAACGACGAUUAUCCUGCAAACUGUUUCCUUCCUCUGGCGUAUCUCUUCGUCAAAUACGCAACAACAAGGAUAACGUACGUGAGAGCGAAUCUCUCGAUUGGUUAUCUUAGGAGGAACAAAAGCAUCUAUUGUUCGCCGAACCUUCUAAUUAUGAGAAUUCUAAUGUAACAUUACAGGGAGGAACUAAGAAACACGUACGUUCGUCGUAAAAAUCAGGUCGGUAACAAAAACGUGAGAGGUUAGUUUUCCAAAUGUCUAUAAAACUAGAGAAGAGGAAGCUUAUUGAGAUAUGUGUAAUUUUGUGUGCUACACUGGAUUAGCCGCGUGGUAGUGACACACGUAUAUCAGUAUGAGUGUGUGGGGGUAUGUGCGUGCACGGCGUCUGGUAAAACAGAAAAAUACAACUGUUCCGUUGGUAAUGUGGUAAAGGAGAUGAUGAGAUAAAGAGAGUUACUGAGACGCGUGCAAAUGUGUAUCGACGAAUAUCUUGUAAAUCACAUAUUAAAUAGAUCUGAAACUAUUUUCAUAUCAAUUCUAAAUGUAAUCUAAGGGUUCCUAUACAUUUAUUUCGGCGAUUAAGACCCACAAUUCUCAACAAAGAUUACCAUUACCAGCCUUGUUUACGUUCAAGUAAAGAGAUAUUAAAGCGACUGAUCGAUCGAAGGGAAGGAAAUAUUUGAAACACUGAGAUAAAAGUAACGCAGUAUCGAUAGAAUAAUCUCAUUAAUGGAAAAUAAUCGCAAUUGAUUUACAACAGAAGGUAACAGAAAAUGGCAAUAACUAGCAAUGUGUAAGUGAAAACCGCAAAAGUGGAACCUAUCUUGCGGCCAUGUAACGUAUCCGCGUAAACACACGCACGCACAGAGUCACACACACGCGUAAGGCAUAAAAGAAAACGUAUUCUUCCUUUUGGACAUUGAAACUGAACCUGAGUUAUCGCGAGCAUUUUUGCUUAGCCGCUGGUGUACUCGAAAGUGGCCGUAAAUAAUCGUCAGAAGGACGUAAUAAAUACCGAGAGUUUCAGGGUAAGUAAACUUACGAGGUCGGGUGGUGAACGGAAAUUCCAUGCUCGUCGCUUCCGCCUUCCAUUUCAGCGCCCUUCUCCAUCGCUAAAAUGGGAUCCUUCGAUUGGAAAGCUCCGUACGUGCUGCCAUUCCUAACGAACAAACGUUAAAUACAAAUAAAGCAAUUCCAUGUUAUGGAUUGGUAUUGUUAAUCCAUCUGGGACCAUAAUCCCUAAACGAGGAUCGACACAUUAUAAAAUUGUGGGAACAGUCGUUUCGACUGGUGCGGUAUUUUCAGGGGUUAGCAUCUAGCGAUCGAUCUGGAAUUUUCCUGAUAACUGAUAUCAUCAUAUCGAAUAGCACGCAGUAAAAAUUUUGAAAACGCGUGCGAAAUUGUAGAAAACAAGGAAACUGGUUAAUUGGGGUUCGAUAAACAGAUUGCAGAAUGCUUUUACACUUUGAGAAGAACCAGUCAUUUCGAUUGGUAUUGUUAUCGUUGCGAAACUCGUUACAUCCUUGCGGAAGAAGAUACAACACGAAGUAGGAAUUUGACAGUAAAAUUGUAAAAACCAGUCAAUUCGACUGGUGUGGUAGUUCUAAUGUUAAUAAUACCAACGAAUAUUAAGACAAGCAUUAAAAGUUAGCGAGAAAGUUUUCAGCUUUGCAUAUUUGAAAACGGUAAUUUAGAAGCUCGAUAUCGGCGCGAUUAUUAUUAAUCGCAAUAAUAGAUUGUAGUAAUUAUUCCCGUGAAUUUCCUCAAUUCUGUAAACAAUUCUAUCAAAGAAUUUACAACUCCUAACAGAGUCGACGAUACGAGUAGUAUAGAAAUAUGAACAAGAGGAAAGUAUACUCUCCUACAAGAUUCAGAGGUAUAUUAAGACAUUAAUGAUCGAUGAUCUUAAAGUUUGAACUUCUGCAGCCACUGGCACACGUGGUUACGUUUUAAAAUAUCGGUAUCGCUGAUACCUUUUGCACGAAGCGUUUAAAUCAAAAAUAAAGAGAGGAUUUCUACUUCAGCGUUUUAAGUUUUAAGAAAGGGAAAACGGUGUUGAAUAUACGCUUUGUCAGUUGCAAUUAUGUUCACGGUCGUGUUGCAAGUAAUACCGCGAAUAAAAUAAUAAACAACACGAUGCUCACGUAUUAAAUAUUCCAUGCAACACUAAUCGUGUGAUAUUAAAUGACGUAUCUGAUAGCUGUGUCAUGCAUUUCCCAUGCCAAAGUGCUCUAUGACGUGUCAGACACGUCAUUUCACCGUAACCAGUUGAUUACUGUACUCUCCGUAUGAACAAUCCAAUAGAAUCAAAUAUUAUUUAUACCUUUAAAUAUCUUUCAAUUUAAUCGUAGGAAAUGGUAACGCUGCUACGAUAUACCACCGAUAUUAAUAACAAAUAAUAAUAUUUUUCUUGGUGUUAGAAAUUAAACAUCGAUGUGUUAUAAGAACACCGAAUGAUACUAACGAUAAGGCACGUAUCUGAAUGUGGAAUGUUGUAGAUCAAGAUCGAGAAAUGCUGUUACGGAUCGUGAAACUAAAAGCAUAGAAUUCUUUGCUACGGUUAAUAGUUUUCCGCACGAUAUCACGCAAUCAUCGUAGAACGAAUCUUCCAUUCACGAGAAUUCGAGAGGCUGCACGCAGAUUACGUAAAAAUCCGUGGCAAUAAAACCUCUAAUUACCGUGCGUUCUUUUUCUGUUAAAGAAACCCGAGUUGCAACAAGUGCAGCUAGAAUGCAGUGCCACCGAGUCCAGCUCUGUAUAAAGUUACGUCUAACUUUUCCCAUGAACGUCAAACCAGUUGCUCGUAAGAUUUACGAUUACCAUAACACCAGCGUCUAUCGUAGACUCGUCGACGCUAGAAUGCACCAAACGCGCUCUACUUUCACUCGAAUUGUAAACGAGGUUGAAUAACAGCCAAUUUGGAAAUUAUAUCGGCGACAAUGUUAACGAUCAACGCCGACGAUAAUUCCACGACGCUAGAUUUGUAAAUAAAAUAUCAAUGAACGUGCGAAUAAUUUUCGGAAUUUUAGGGAACUUGAGAGAUCGAAAUGAGCGAAUACUCGACAGAAAUUGUAAUUCGCGAAAUUUCAAGUAUGAGAUCAGAGACGCGGCGAAUUUCGUACGAGCAGGAACAAACGAUUUGAAGAAAAUUCGAUUUCACGGCGAGGACACGAGGCGUUCUACGUAAUUAAUUUCUUAGAAAACGCAACACAGCCAGUGGAAAAAUCGUAAUAAAUCGAGUGACUGGGAAAGUACGCCGUAUGCGCGAUCUGACAUUAACGUUUCAAGGUAAUACAGCUCUAGACCACUUGUUAGAAACACACGUUUUUACCAGUGCGAACAAAUAUUUUGAACUUUCCUACUUGGACAACAAGCACUGAUACGACGAACAACGUCGAAUUUAUCGUUCGUUAUUUAUAAUUCCUGUUUGAGCAACGUGGCCGAUUUUCCUUUCAAAACCUACACAAGCAACGGUAUUCGACGAAACGACCACUAUAAUUAAACUAACUUCACCAUUUUAAACGCAGACACCGUACGUAAGAAUAUUCUUGCGCGACUAACGGCGAUGCGAAGCUUCAGCGAGACUAGGAUUGAUUUAAACGAACUAUUAUCGUAUCUUGAGCAAAUUAAAACGAGAAAAAUGUGUUAGACGAAGGGUUUUUUUUCAAACACGAAGAUCUUGCUGCGUUAAAUAACCGAGAAAUUGAUGGCAACGAAGAAUAACGAGCCUCUAUCCUCCAUAUCCUCGAAUAAACGAAUGAUUAACGACGAACCACGAGGAAAUCACGUUGCUACCAUGAAGAUAGAACAGACUUUGAUAUAACGUUUGUUUACAAUGGUCAGAAGUGUUUUGGAAAAUUGCGAAUCUAAAAUAUAAAGUUUCAACGAAUCGCGAACAAUCCUGUACGAUAGAUAUUAUACCUAACUUUUGUUCGUACUGUUUAAUUUUUUGAUAGAAUCUUCCGAAUCAUCGAGCCGCUGAUCAACUUUUAUAGACAAGGAUACAAAUUAUAGGCGAGAUUUAGACGGAUUAAAACGAAGGAUCCGACGUUUGUUAAAUCGUCGAUCAAAGAAUUUCUACCGUGUGAGAAUAUAAAUCGAAAGGUACGUCGAAUACCGCACAAGUUUCACUAGUUCGAUACCAGAUCGAAGAAAUAUCGUUAGGUGCCAACGAACUACGUCACUUUUGGCUCCGGUCUUGCCAUUGAAACAGGAACACGUAUGUAAGACCUGCUGGUUUCGCAAUUUGACCGUUUAGCGGUAACCAGUCCAUUCCACUGACUAUUUUGGGUAACGAUGAACUGGAUAAGACGCGAUAGAUGCACAAAUUCUCGUAGAUCGCGAUUACGGUGUUCCUGUUCCACUGGGGCAUUCCAAGUGCCUUACGAGGCUAAAGGAAGAAGAUAUGAAAAUUAAUGGUACGGAAAAUUUGUCGUAAGACGUCGAUAAUGUUAGUGGAAAUUUUUAAUCGUAGGAGAUACGAGUAAUCGAGAAUGGUAAACACGAAGGGAAAUAUGUCAAACUGGUAGAAAGGUUGAUAGGAAGAAAAGAUAGAGACAUUAAGAAUGGAAGAGAUGAAAGUUUGCAAAAAUAUUUUUAACGCCAAAAAAUCGAGGACAUCUGCGAUGGAAGUUUUCAAACAUGUUUAAUUAAUUGCGUGAUAAAAUCGCCUACUCGUUUUAUAAUGUCGUGACAUAAAUUAAGGAUCAUAUUCAAAGACCACAUUUAUAAUCAAAGCUGAAUUUUAAUUCUGCUUUUAACGAUAAAUCACGAUACGAGGUAUCGAAUAGAAAAUGUAAAAAUAAAAUUACAAACGUAUUUUUUUAGCAAAUAUCGUUUCUUUCCAUUAAGUUUGUCAGCGUUAAAUUUUGUAAAGUAAAUUUUGUAAAUUAAAUUUGUAAAUAUAUUCUCUGUUCUCGUUAAACACUGUCUGUUCUCGUUUAAAAACCACACGGCAGCCUGUCGAUUUAUUUUAAUUUGAAAUUCACUUCGUUUCAAAUUAUUUUCAUUUUUAAUUCAGAGAUUAUAUAAAUGUUAAUAGUUUGUCAUUUCGAAAUUUAGAAAGCAACAGGGGCUGUGACCAUCGAAAUUGAAAAUUUAUACAAAACAGAUUCAGUGGACAGAAAUACUCGAUCGCUUCUGUGUAGUAUUUAAAAACAAUAAUCAUCGAUAAAAAAGGUAUGAUGAAACAAUGACAACACACGGACGGGAAGCAAUAAAUUCUUAAUCAGCAGCGUGAAUAUUACAAUGCAUCUCAUAAAUCAUCGAAUCGACUCGCUGUCAGUCCAAGUAGAGAAAUUGCAGACGCAUGACAUGACAAACGAGCAGAUGCGAAAAAUUUGAUACGUGCAACACGAUUUAAAAUGCAAACAUUGUAGAUGCUUUGAAACUUAAAUAUAGUGAAUAUUUUAUGACAAA